UCUUCCGUAGUAUAGUGGUCAGUAUGUGAGCUUGUCACUAACCUACCUGACAUCGCUCGAGACCCGGGUUCAAUUCCCGGCGGGAGAG